UAAAUGUAAAUUUUGAAGAUAUUUAGGCAAUGUUUUAUGUUUUAAAAUAUUCAUCUUUUUUCUUUGCAAGUUUUUUGUAUGUUUCUUUAGGACAUGUAAACGUGUACUGCUUUGUAUUGGUAGAACAUAUACAUGAGCUUUUGUGGUAACCAGUUGGUGGUAAUACAUAUUAGCAAAAUUUACAAUUGUUAAAAAUAUAUUUUUUAAACUAAGCAGUAAUAAAUUAAAAUAAUAAACUGUCUAUGCUAUCGAUGAUUUUAUAUUAACAAAAUCCAAAAAGAUAUAACUUUUUAAUACCAAAAAAAAAUAUAUAUAUAUAUAAUCCUUUUAUAACAUAUAAGAGAACCAUCUUUUUAUAUUAUUUUAAUAAGAUAAUAUCAAAUGUUUGUGUAGGUAAUAAUUAACUAUUUUAUUAUCUAAUAUAAAUAUUAUUAAAAUUAUUUAUUAAAACCAUUGACUUAGCUAAGAAUAUUUUUAAAUACAAUGAUAAAUAAGAUAAUAUUAAAUUUUUGUAUAGAUGAAAUAUUGUAAUUAUCAUGUCUCUGAAGCUGUUUAUUAUUAAGAUAUAUAAUAAAAUAUUUAUAAAAAACUAUUGAAUAAAUCUAAAAUCAUGGAGUGGAAGUCUCAUUAGUCCAGUGGUUUGAUUAAAUGUUCAUUAAUGCUUCUACAUCAGGAGGUCUGAGUUUUGAUUUCCAGAAUAGACGAAAUUAUACGAAUUAAUUGAAAAAAAUAUUUACAAGAGAUCUGCAAUAUGACGCAAGAAGUACCGCCAAGCGUGGAUCCCAUAGGGUGGUUUAGGUGAUGCAGUCAGACGUGAAUCCUCAUAAGGCAUCUAAAAUUAUCGUUUGUAAAAUAAUAUUUUUCAUAAUGUGUAAUAACAUACUUAUACACUGUUAAAAAAAACUUAAAAUCAUGGAAAAAAUAAUAAAUCAGCAUAUUCACUUCUCAGAUAAUAGUAUAAAUUCAAAAUUUCAGCAACCUAAAAUAAAUAUAUAGUUCAACUGUUUAACCAGCUAUAAUCAACUCAUUCACUUGAUGAGCACAUUUUGUCAUCGGAAAUUAUUCAUAAUAAUGUAACCAUAAGGCGUGUUUAAUAAAAUCUCGUAUAAAGAAAUCAAAGAAUCAUAUACUUGCUUUACAAAUCGAGUAAUAUAUUGGGUGACGAUAUCACAUCAAGCGGGGAGCAUAUAUAUCUUACAAGAGAUUGAUUGAUGUGGACCAUUCUUUCGCAGCCACGCCUUUAAUCUUCUAUAGGACUUUGACCUCGACUACAAUCUAUUUUGAAUGAAUUAGUGCGUCGUGAAAAUUUUAUGCAAUAUUUUUUUCUCCUUUAAAACGAAAACAACUUUGAAGUAUGUAAAACCGACCACAAGAGAUUAUUAAAGUUAUAUACUAGUGCUACUAAAUAAACUUUCUCAAACUAUAUGAUAGAGGAAGCUUCUUGAUUAUUCACUUGAAAUUAUUUUCUUUUGGUUGAUGUCGGAUGAAAUUUGUAUCAACAUCAACAAUAUUUCGCAGAAUUUUCUGGCUUUCGUUAUAUUUACAUUUUUCAGUGUUGAAAAGACCACGAAAAUUGAUCAUGAGAAAAGAGGACUCUGGCUUCAUGUGGUCUGUUUGAUUUAUUGAAAUAAGAAAACACCUUUAAUAAAAAGUGAGUGAGUGAAAACAAAAAUAACAAAAACUCUGAAAAUAUAAUAUUGAAAAUACCAUAUAUGAAUAAGAUAGUAAAAUAAAUUAUGUAACUUGUCAAAAAUAAUGUUAAUAAAAAAGAAGGGAAUUUGCGGUAGAUAUACAAAUUAUGAGUUGAUAUUAGGUAAAUGGACAUGGAGGCUGUACAUUUUUUAUUAAUACGAAUAUGUCCCUAUAUUUAGACUUAGGUGUAGUACUGACCAAAUCGGUACCCCAUCUUUACCACUACCAUUUCGUCUCUCUCCUUGUUAAAAACUUAAUCUGAAGUAUAGAUUUGUUUGACAAAAGAAAUUCUCCUAUGAAAUCGAAAAAAGGCUCCACUCAUCCUCUUCCUUUUCAUUUAUCUGUAGCCAUUAUUACACACAUCAAAACUGUAAAAACUUAUCUAUAGCCAUUAUUAAACCAAACUCAUCCUCUUUUGCUUUACUAACCUCUUUAUGUCUCAAUCUCAAAAAAAAUUUCUCAUCUCUGAAUGUUUUUUUCUCCAUCUCAUGUUAAAACUCUCUGAAAUCUUCAUAUCUCAUUUUUCUUCUUACAUUUAUAUGAUAGUCUGUAACUACAGUGUCUUAAGGGAAAACUUCACGAUGAAAAAAAACAGAUGUGAUGCGUCUUUCUAGCAGUUGAAAAUAGAGGUGAAGCGUUUUCCACUCUUUUUUUUGUUUCUUCUCCGUUCUGUUUCCAGAGAAACCCGAGGACAACAAUACUUGAGUUAUUGGGGGUUUGAUUUUUUUCAAAAGAAUCAGAACAAUGAAAAACAGAUUUCAGGUUUCUUGAAUCUUCAGUGGAAAAGAUAUGGUUUAUGUUCUGAGUUAUCUCAAUAGGUAAUGGGGCUUUUCUCUCAUUUCCUUUUAAAAUGAGAAUUAUGUUGUGAUGUCUCGGUUUUUUUCAACAAAGGUUCCUCUUUUUCAAGAACAAAGAUCAGACUCGUGUAUGUGAAUUGGUUAUUUGUUCGAAUUUUGCAAUUUUAUUUUUAGUUUUCUGGAAAUAUUCCAAUGAGUGUUCCACCUGUUAAAAUGUAUAAGAGAAAGUUUAACGACAUAGGAAGGGGAAGAUAUGAUUCAGAUUUUUGGAUCCAACAAUCUUGAAGAGGAAAAGGACAGCAAGAUUCUCAAGUUCUUAGGUUUAUGUGGAAUCCACUCGCGUGAGCCCGGAUCUGUCGUGUUCUUGUCGGCGAUUGAGACACGAGGAGGCGUCUCUUGGUCGGAGGAGCAUUUGAGGAGAAGAGAGCCAUAAAAAGUGGAAGUGAGGAAAACGAGGUGGUGAAGUCGCCUUUUCUAGCCGGAGGAUGGUGAACCAACGGCGUCGGAAAAUAGAAAGCUUUGUGGAUCGCCGGAGAAGAGUAGUCAGAGGCAAGCUUCGUCGCCGGGGAAGAAGAGAGAGAAAUAGAAGAAGCUGAAGAAGAGGUUUUUGAAGUAGAAGAAGCCGGUAGCAGGUAAAAUAGAGAUGGAUUCAUUCGAUUGCAACAAGGAUAAUAUAGACUUUCCAUGCAGUUCUUUCUCCUGGUUUGCCAAUUAAUAAAAAAAAUGUCCACUUACCUAA